UUAGCAUUCUAGUUACUGGUAGUAGAGGAGUUUUCUUUGAGGGGUUGAAGUAGGGAAGGACAAUUUGGACUUGCCUCUGGCUAGCAGACCAUGGGCAAACCCACCAGACCAAGGCCAACGUCAGACCAUCACAUAACCGGUUGGCGAGUGGAUGGGGUGUAGGGGUCGUGGAGCCCCGUGGAACAUCGCGCCAAGCAACUGAAGCCCCUCUAGAACAGAAAAGAAACUAAUGACAGCAUGACUACUUGAAAGCUGGGCUGGAGGAAGGAGAUUUUUAUUCACUUCAGAGGUAUGAACAGAGGAAGUUUUCUUUCUACU